GAUAAAAAAAAGUACGAGAGGAAAUAGGUGGGCACGGGGGAAAGUGGGAGGAAAGGCUAAUUAAACGGAAAAGGGGCAAGCAAAAGUCGA
ensembl:ncRNA B0240.7 ncRNA